ensembl:miRNA mdo-mir-7371g mdo-mir-7371g
CCUUGUAUCAGGUGCUCUAUUGUAUGACUGCUAUCAAAUAGAGCAUGCUUGUACAAAGGA